AAACGAGCCUAGUGAUAGCUGGUUACUUAAGAAAAGAAUUUUAGUUCAACCUAGAGCUUCCCAAGCCCCUCCAAGCAACCCCCAAGCUUUAGAGCAACUCAAAUAAGGUACAGCUUAUUUGAACAAGGACACAACCUAAUCUAACGGGUAACUAAUCUAAAAUAGCCCAGUUGGCCUAAAAGCAGCCACCAUUUAAAAGCGUCAAAGCCUAACACAGCCCCAAACACCAAUCCCCCCGCCCAUCCCGAACCCUUAACCAAUAUUAAGUACUUCUAUGCCCCCAUAGAAAUUUUUAUGUUAAAACUAGUAAUGUGAAACACCUUCUCCUAAUGUAAGCAUAAAUCAGACAGAAACCCGCACUGAUAAUUAACAACCCAAAGUAGCAACCCCACAAGAAAACCCUGCCUCAACCCCCGUUAAUCUAACACAAGAACAUUACAAGAAAGAUCAAAAGAAAGAGAAGGAACUCGGCAAAUAAUGAUCUCGCCUGUUUACCAAAAACAUCGCCUCUUGCACCUCAUAAGAGGUCCAGCCUGCCCAGUGACUCUGUUCAACGGCCGCGGUAUCCUGACCGCGCGAAGGUAGCGUAAUCACUUGUUUUUUAAAUGAAGACUAGUAUGAAAGGCACCACGAAAAUCAAACUGUCUCCUCUUUCCCAUCAAUGAAACUAAUCUCCCCGUGAAGAAGCGGGGAUCUCUCUAUAAGACGAGAAGACCCUAUGGAGCUUCAAACUAAAUUAGCACUUUGCCACACUUUCACCCCGAAAUACCCACGCAUUCGUUCUAUGAGUUUUAGGUUGGGGCGACCGCGGAGAAUAAACCACCCUCCACGCUGACAAGAACCACUUCUUAAUGAAAAACCACAACUUUUCAAAUCAACAUAUUGACAUCUAUUGACCCACACUCUGAUCAACGGACCAAGUUACCCUAGGGAUAACAGCGCAAUCUACUUCAAGAGCUCAUAUCGACAGGUAGGCUUACGACCUCGAUGUUGGAUCAGGAAAUCCUAGUGGUGCAGCAGCUACUAAAGGUU
rnacentral:rRNA from 1 species